rnacentral:rRNA from 1 species
CCCUUAGAUGUUCUGGGCCGCACGCGCGCUACACUGAUGCAUUCAACGAGCCUUUCCUUGACCGACAGGUCCGGGUAAUCUUUGAAUCUGCAUCGUGACGGGGAUAGAUUAUUGCAAUUAUUAAUCUUCAACGAGGAAUGCCUAGUAGGCGCAAGUCAUCAGCUUGCGUCGAUUACGUCCCUGCCCUUUGUACACACCGCCCGUCGCUCCUACCGAUUGGGUGUGCUGGUGAAAUGUUCGGAUCGGCCGUUUGUCGCGGUUUCCGCGUCAUGUGGCUGAGAAGUUCAUUAAACCCUCCCACCUAGAGGAAGGAGAAGUCGUAACA